rnacentral:RNase_P_RNA from 1 species
GGGGAUGAACGAAGGGUUGCUCUGAUCCCGCAAGGGCAUUGGAGAGGAAAGUCCGGGCUCUCUUCUUUGUUCAAUAGCAAUAUUGAACGAAAAAACAGGUAAUGGGUAAUACCCAUACGCCGUAAGGCGCGAGGUGCGAACAGAAACGACCCGGUUAAGUCCGGCUGAAACGGCUAAAUCCUUACUUGGGUGCAAGUCCAGAAGUAGUAGGACGCAUGAUCCGGGUGGCAACAUCCGGACAAGAGAAAUAACCCUUGUUUCCUCGAAAGAGGAGAUACAGAACUCGGCUUACAGUUCAUCCCUUUAU